rnacentral:rRNA from 1 species
GUGAAAGCGUGGGAGCAAACAGGGAUUAGAUACCCCUGUAGUCCACGCCGUAAACGAUGUCAACUAGCCGUUGGGAGCCUUGAGCUCUUAGUGGCGCAGCUAACGCAUUAAGUUGACCGCCUGGGGAGUACGGCCGCAAGGUUAAAACUCAAAUGAAUUGACGGGGCCCGCACAAGCGGUGGAGCAUGUGGUUUAAUUCGAAGCAACGCGAAGAACCUUACCAGGCCUUGACAUCCAAUGAACUUUCUAGAGAUAGAUUGGUGCCUUCGGGAACAUUGAGACAGGUGCUGCAGGCUGUCGUCAGCUCGUGUCGUGAGAUGUUGGGUUAAGUCCCGUAACGAGCGCAACCCUUGUCCUUAGUUACCAGCACGUUAUGGUGGGCACUCUAAGGAGACUGCCGGUGACAAACCGGAGGAAGGGGGGAUGACGUCAAGUCA